rnacentral:rRNA from 1 species
AUUGAACGCUGGCGGCAGGCCUAACACAUGCAAGUCGAGCGGAUGAAGGGAGCUUGCUCCUGGAUUCAGCGGCGGACGGGUGAGUAAUGCCUAGGAAUCUGCCUGGUAGUGGGGGAUAACGUCCGGAAACGGGCGCUAAUACCGCAUACGUCCUGAGGGAGAAAGUGGGGGAUCUUCGGACCUCACGCUAUCAGAUGAGCCUAGGUCGGAUUAGCUAGUUGGUGGGGUAAAGGCCUACCAAGGCGACGAUCCGUAACUGGUCUGAGAGGAUGAUCAGUCACACUGGAACUGAGACACGGUCCAGACUCCUACGGGAGGCAGCAGUGGGGAAUAUUGGACAAUGGGCGAAAGCCUGAUCCAGCCACGCCGCGUGUGUGAAGAAGGCCUUCGGAUUGUAAAGCACUUUAAGUUGGGAGGAAGGGCAGUAAGUUAAUACCUUGCUGUUUUGACGUUACCAACAGAAUAAGCACCGGCUAACUUCGUG